UACGUAGGGUGCGAGCGUUAAUCGGAAUUACUGGGCGUAAAGGGUGCGCAGGCGGUUCUGCAAGUCAGGCGUGAAAGCCCCGGGCUUAACCUGGGAAUUGCAUUCGAUACUGCGUGACUAGAGUAUGGUAGAGGGAAGCGGAAUUCCGGGUGUAGCGGUGAAAUGCGUAGAUAUCCGGAGGAACACCAGUGGCGAAGGCGGCUUCCUGGCCCAAUACUGACACUCAGGUGCGACAGCGUGGGGAGCAAACAGG
rnacentral:rRNA from 1 species